rnacentral:rRNA from 1 species
UACGAAGGGGGCUAGCGUUGUUCGGAAUUACUGGGCGUAAAGCGCGCGUAGGCGGUGAUCCAUGUCAGAGGUGAAAUCCCGGAGCUCAACUCCGGAACUGCCUUUGAAACGGGAUCGCUAGAAUCCGAGAGAGGAUGGCGGAAUUCCUAGUGUAGAGGUGAAAUUCGUAGAUAUUAGGAAGAACACCGGUGGCGAAGGCGGCCAUCUGGCUCGGUAUUGACGCUCAGGCGCGAAAGCGUGGGGAUCAAACAGG